rnacentral:rRNA from 1 species
GACGAACCGUGCGAACGUUAUUCGGAAUCACUGGGCUUAAAGCGCGUGUAGGCGGGCGGGCACGUCCGACGCUGAAAUCCCCCGGCUCAACCGGGGAAUGGGCGGGGAUACGACCAGCCUGGAGGGACGGAGGGGGACCUGGAACUUCCGGUGGAGCGGUGAAAUGCGUUGAGAUCGGAAGGAACGCCCGUGGCGAAAGCGAGGUCCUGGACGUCUACUGACGCUGAGACGCGAAAGCCAGGGGAGCGAACGGGAUUAGAUACCCCGGUAGUCCUGGCCGUAAACGAUGGGCACUGGGUAGGGGGCUCGCCGAUGGGCUCUCUGCCGGAGCGAAAGCGUGAAGUGCCCCGCCUGGGGAGUAUGGUCGCAAGGCUGAA